rnacentral:misc_RNA from 1 species
GAUGAAGAACGCAGCGAAAUGCGAUAAGUAAUGUGAAUUGCAGAAUUCAGUGAAUCAUCGAAUCUUUGAACGCACAUUGCGCCCGCCAGUAUUCUGGCGGGCAUGCCUGUCUGAGCGUCAUUUCAACCCUCAUGCCCCUAGGGCGUGGUGUUGGGGAUCGGCCAAAGCCCGCGAGGGACGGCCGGCCCCUAAAUCUAGUGGCGGACCCGUCGUGGCCUCCUCUGCGAAGUAGUGAUAUUCCGCAUCGGAGAGCGAUGAGCCCCUGCCGUUAAACCCCAAACUUUCCAAGGUUGACCUCAGAUCAGGUAGGAAUACCCGCUGAACUUAAGCAUAUCAAUAAGCGGAGGA